rnacentral:rRNA from 1 species
CCUACGGGUGGCUGCAGUGAGGAAUAUUGGUCAAUGGACGAGAGUCUGAACCAGCCAAGUAGCGUGAAGGAUGACUGCCCUACGGGUUGUAAACUUCUUUUAUCUGGGAAUAAAAUGUUCCACGUGUGGGAUUUUGUAUGUACCAUAUGAAUAAGGAUCGGCUAACUCCGUGCCAGCAGCCGCGGUAAUACGGAGGAUCCGAGCGUUAUCCGGAUUUAUUGGGUUUAAAGGGAGCGUAGGUGGAUGGUUAAGUCAGUUGUGAAAGUUUGCGGCUCAACCGUAGAAUUGCCGUUGAAACUGGCAGUCUUGAGUACAGGAGAGGUGGGCGGAAUUCGUGGUGUAGCGGUGAAAUGCUUAGAUAUCACGAAGAACUCCGAUUGCGAAGGCAGCUUACUGGACUGCAACUGACACUGAGGCUCGAAAGUGUGGGUAUCGAACAGGAUUAGAUACCCUGGUAGUC